rnacentral:rRNA from 1 species
UCUCCUGGAAACGGGUGGUAAUGCCGGAUGCUCCAUCACAUCGCAUGGUGUGUUGGGAAAGCCUUUGCGGCAUGGGAUGGGGUCGCGUCCUAUCAGCUUGAUGGCGGGGUAACGGCCCACCAUGGCUUCGACGGGUAGCCGGCCUGAGAGGGCGACCGGCCACAUUGGGACUGAGAUACGGCCCAGACUCCUACGGGAGGCAGCAGUGGGGAAUAUUGCACAAUGGGCGCAAGCCUGAUGCAGCGACGCCGCGUGAGGGAUGGAGGCCUUCGGGUUGUAAACCUCUUUUGUUAGGGAGCAAGGCAUUUUGUGUUGAGUGUACCUUUCGAAUAAGCACCGGCUAACUACGUGCCAGCAGCCGCGGUAAUACGUAGGGUGCAAGCGUUAUCCGGAAUUAUUGGGCGUAAAGGGCUCGUAGGCGGUUCGUCGCGUCCGGUGUGAAAGUCCAUCGCUUAACGGUGGAUCCGCGCCGGGUACGGGCGGGCUUGAGUGCGGUAGGGGAGACUGGAAUUCCCGGUGUAACGGUGGAAUGUGUAGAUAU